AGGUGUUGACGCUGGGUUAUUCGGCUCUCGGUCGCCGUUGCUUCUGUGCGUGUCUCAUCCGUCUCUUUCUCGGAUCUUCUUCCUGGCUGUGGCGCUGUCAUCCUCCGGUUCUUCUCGCUCCUUCCGGCCGCGGCUCUGUCACCCCCGGUUCCUUCUCGAUUGCCUAGGUGUCUCGAUACGCGCCGGUUCGUCGUGCGCUGGCGCCGGCGGUGCUAUCCCUAUAUAAGCGUUUCGAAGCGACCGGAUUUCUGCACCUCCUCUAUCUCGAUGGUGGAAUUAGCAGGUGCGCUUCGAUGGCGGGCCAUCUUGCGUGUUUCUGUGUUUGCUGGGUUGUUUAAACUUACCGAAGGGCAUAUUCACUCUCAGUUUAUAUGGUGCUAUCGCUAUAUAUCACUCUCAGUUUAUAUCUUCUACUUGCUUGGGAACAUCAAUUGUUUAAACUUACCGAAGGGCAUAGUCUUAGAUAUAUCUUCUUUUGCCUUUGUAUUGUAGCUUUCUUGUUAUAUUUAUUGCUUAUGAUGUUUUGGAACUGCUCUCCAGUAUGCAGCUGUGAUUCGUAGAGGCUGCUAAUUGUUUUGGUUGUCGCUUCCAUUUUUUAUGACAUGAAGAUUUGUGAGCUUAAAUAAUAUUGUAAUUUUAGCGGCCACAUAUGACUAGGUGAAGGCAAGUCUCGAUUCGUUCAGUUCAAGGUUAGCCCAAUUUUUCAGUAAGUAUAUGAGAAUCAUGAGCCAUCUUUAGACAUCUUCCAACAUUGCAGACUUUUAUUGAUAGUCUUGGUCAGAAAUUAAUUAGGUAUUUGCACCCACCGAUGCCACAAUGUGCAAUGACAAAUUUUUCGCUUAUUCAUCUCAUACCCUGUAACGAAGUCUGGUUGUCAAUUGGUCAGGUAUACACAACAUAAAUUACUCUUUAUCACCUCAGUGACAGAAGCAAAUAGAUUUUCAGUUCACCUGUUUAACUGGCAUGUUUCACAAUUUGUUACAGAUUGGUAAAUAUCCCCACCUUCCAUAUGUUGCUCUUGGUGGCUGUCUAGGUGCUUCUUCGUUUGCGCCGGCGUCAGCCAAUUUGCUUGCUUUGUUCCUUCCUGCCAUGGUUCAUUCCACUGGGACGUCAGGCAUUAUGCAGAGAAAUUUCUCUGUGCAUUAUGCAGAGAAAUUCAAUUAAAGUUCUCAGUCCUUUCCAAAAAAAAUAUUAAAGUUCUCAGUGGAAUUUCCAGGAAAUAAGCUAUUCCUAAUCCUGGCUCCUGUGUUCCUCCUUGGACUAUUACCGUCAACUUACCACUCAGGCCAGCGCAGCUUGAGGUAGUGUUGGAACAUCUUCCCUUCUGCCUAGAGUUGUCAGAUCAAACGCUAUGAUUACUCUGCAAUGAAAAUAUCCGAUCGAAUCAAGAACAAAAGGACAAUUAAAUUUAUGCGGGUCACAAAGGAAGUAUCCUUGCUCCUGCUCCUACAGAAAUUUGAGCAGAUCAUUGUGUAUCAUUUGCAGUGACCACAGGUUUCUUAUAGAAUUGUGCUCUAUUUCAGUUAGUACAUUUGCUUGUUUAAUAAUUUUGCCUAUUUUUUGUGUCCCUUCUAGCAGUAACUGAGCUAAUAUAUUUUUCUAGGCUCUUUAAAAAAAAUUCAUCAAGAGCCCAUAUAAAAAUUUCGUUAGUGUUUAUAUUGAAAAAUUAUAUACAUUUCCAUCGAUCUAUACCCAGUUUUUCUUUGUAAAGUUGUUGGACCUGCUAAGUGGUGAAAUUUUGGUCAUUUGCAAGCAGCUUAGUUCAGCAAUAGUACCCAGAAGACUGGUUCUGAAGCUUGAUUCUUGGCAUUUGAGCCUAGAAGAUAGUAUGCAAAACAGAGGACCUGAUGUGUUUACAUGAUACAACACUAUAGUUUCUGAAAUUGUGCAAAUUGAAAUUUGAGUACUCGAGAGAUAUGGAUAAAAAUGAGGAGAACUUGGAAAGAAGCAGCUGCAAUUUUACAUCUUGUGACUUAUUUUCUGACAGUUCAAAGUAUCCAUUAGACUGUGUUGUGUUUAUUUUUUUGCAAGACUUAGAAAUAUGUUUAUCACCACUCGCCAUUGGAAUGUCUUUGUACUGCACUUGCCGCUAAAUUACAUUCAACAUUUAUCAAUAACUAUUGAUAUAGUAAACAUACAACUUAAACUGAUUCAAUAUAGUUGAUUCUCACAUGAAUGUUUCCAUCUCCAUGAUAAAGCCACAAUCCGACUCUUUGAGUUUGGUUGAUAAUUUUGUUUUGUUAAGAAUGUGUUUUUUUAUUUCCCUCAUGUGGUUUUAGAGUGGUUAUCUAUGCUUGCAAGACAAGGAUCUAACCGGGCAAUGUAAGAGUAAGGAAAUGUGAAGAGUGUAGCCAAAUAGAAAUGCUAAUUUCACCUGUAGAGAGUCAUGUGAAAGUUGAUAUUUUGUGGACAUAAAAAGGAAGUACCUUGAUCCUUAGGAAUAAAGGUCUUCAAGCACCUUGAGGAGGAGCAGAUUCAUGAUGGAACAUUUUCAGCUUCUAGGUCGGUAUCUUCUUUCAGGUAUAACCUUGAUAGCAGCUGGAUUUGUCAAGUUAGUGAAGUUGUACAUAGGGUGCUAUGUAUAUUUGUCAAGUUGUACAUACCGUGCUUGUGUGUUAGUAAUUCUGAAUGCAAUUGAUAAAAUAUGAAAACAUUCAGUAUAAAGGAGAACUAUUUAUUUUGUCGAACCAUCGUACCGAUCACAUGUGAUGAGCUAUUGCUGUUUUGGGUGCUUCCGCUGUAAGUUGUGUGAUGUUCUACUGUUCUAUUUAUCAUCUACUCCAUUUUAACAGGAUGAUGAGUUUGGUAUUUUUUAACUGAUAUAGGUUCAAAUUUUAACAAAAUGAAUUUAACUGCCAGAGAAUACACAUAAAAGAUGAAAAAAAGAAGAUUCCAAGCAUCCACUAGAACGGAAAGCAAAUCGUGCCUCUCAGUAUACGUCUGGUCAUACUUGCUUGCACCAAACUAUACAUGCUUACAUCAAACAAAACAAAGAAAAUAAAUCACAAGUGAAAUACAAAUUCAAUACACGGAAGUAAUAAUGAAACUGCUCAACAUUUGUUUUUUACCUCUGGGGUGUUUCACUCUGGCUCCUCUUUCAUACCAACUAUGUUCCUUUUUGUUUCUUUUAACAGUUUUCAGCCGGAUGCAUAUUUUUUUGCCGCAUGGGAAUAAAUUCUAUGUCGUGGGUUUAGCUGCCCUGGUGUGGGCGAUUUGGACCUCUUGAAACAGAGUGACUUUUGACAAUUACAUUUUUUGUUCCCCUUUCGAGAUUGUCUUUGCCGCAUGUUCUUUUUUGCUGUCUUGGGCAGGUCUUCAGAAGGCGCCUGAUGCAGAGAUACUGAGAGCUGGUGCUAGGCAGCUGGUCCAAAAUGCCUAAGAUCUGAUGUGCCGACUAGGUGAGGGGGUGCUUCAUACUGCUGAUCCUGCUGGGGUGCUGUCGGUGCUCCGAAUCACUAAUGCUUGAUUUCGGUUGAGGAGGAUGUGCUUUUUUGCUUGCUGAUAUGAUGAUCCUUUUGUAACGAUGGAUGUCUUGAAACUGUUAUCUUUUGUUCAAACUUGAUUGGGCUAGUUCUAUGAGGACAGGUUUCGUCUCGUAGCCAGUUUCCCGAUUGCGGGCUGGUCAGCGGGUUUUCUGUCCCGGUCCCAGUAGUUUGUUUCGCUUGUCCAUUUUCAUCUCUUAAACUCAAUGCUGUGGAUGUGGUGUGGACAACUUUAUAUUUUCGUUACGCAAGUAAUGAAAAGGGGAGAGAUCCUGGGUUAAAACAUACACACGGAAGUGUCGACGGCGCGCGCUUCCGUCUAGUAUCGCCCAUCUCUGUCGCAUCUAGGCCCAGCCAGCCCACCUCCAGUCUUUUUUCUCCUCCCGCACGACAAGAACACGCAAGAACACCACGCAUAUGUCUGAUUAAAUCAUCAUCCAGUUCC
rnacentral:lncRNA from 1 species